rnacentral:lncRNA from 1 species
GGGUGAUAGAAAUCAAAUCCUGACACUGAUACCCCACCCCCUGUGCUGAGAGGUGGUCUGGUCUUUGUGUAUCUCAUAGAUGGUCUACCUGAUGUAAUCAUUCCGGAAACCAAGGCCAUCUACCAAUAAGGCAUGGACCUUGUCAGCAGCUCUGAGUUGUCCAGGGCACUGAGUGAUCUUUAAUUCUGAAUUGAAUCAUUAGACCAAGUGGGAACAGUGCUAGUUAGAAACAGGGGUGUGCUGAGCAGCCCUGGGGCUAUCCCAGGAUUUUGGGAGGUGUCGGGUUGCAUGCUCCAUCCUAGACAUCACUUGCUCAACACCACUUUUCUGCCAGUUCCCUGUUUUCUAAUAGAGCAUGUGUUUGCCAGAGGACUGUUUGGCUGCUUUGGAUCUGCUGUUGAUAAAGCUUUUCCUGGUGUGAAUGUAAAGAUUGAAACAGAACCUUGUCCCCUCCUGCCUCCUUAUUUUCUAGUGCUGGGAAUCUAACCCAGGGCCUGAUCUCCACACCACUCCUCCUGUUUUAUUUAUUAGGCACCAUCACAUCCGAGAGCUCGUGUGGGGCUUGUAUUUCUUUAAGUCAGGAGCCAUUUGGUUGCCAUGUUGAACUGUGUCUCCCCCUGUUCAUUUUACCCUAAUUUGGGAGGUAGGGCUAAGUGAGUCAGCUGAAUUUCAUAUAAACCUCUUGGUCCCAAGGCUUCAGAAUCUCUUACCCAUGGCUGCUUUUUUCUAAGAAAAUAAGCACCUAGCUUGAGCCAUGUAAUACGGAGAUUGCGGUGACUCUUCUUUGAUGCCAGAAUGCUUAGCUUUGACCUUGUGAGUAUCCUUCCAAGGACUUCAUGGGAUUGGGUUUGAUUUUCUUUUCCAGGCUGACAGAUAAAGCGAUGAAGGACUAUUCUGCUUAUCGUUCCUCUCUUCUCUUUUGGGCCCUUGUCGAUCUCAUUUACAGCAUGUUUAAGGUAAGGAAGCCAUUGGCCCAGCCUGUUUCUGCAAGGGUGUAAGGCGUCUGUUCUCCUGGCUCUGACCCGGCCUCAGCAUCCAAAGGCUUGCGGCUGCCCUGCCUCUGAGAAGUAUCGGGAUGUUCAGCCCAGCUCUGCACAUCUGCCUGUUUGUAGCUGAGCUCACUCUUCGCUCACACUCUCAAGUGUGCUUCUUAAGGGGGCUGUGCCCCUCCCCCAGUCAGCCUUCAUUGCUGUUACCCCUGUGUGGGUGAACUGGUGCCCUGUGGGAACCUCACCAGCCCCACUUAAAGAAGGGUGGUCCUGGGUGUCUUCAGAGAAUCCGAGGAUUCAGGCUGGACCCUGUUCUCAUCGAAGUAAAGAGCUCAGUAGAAGCAUAUUAAUGCUUCCCCUGCUUUGGAAAUGGAGAUGGUAAAUGUGUGGGGAGGAAGACAUGCAGCCCUGUGUUGGAGCUCGUAGGUUCCGUUGCACAGUAUAUAAGGGGGCUCAAUGAGAAGUGACUUCAGUUCUGCUGAUCCUGGAGGCAGAACACAUCUCUAGGGAAGGAGUGAUGUGCAGGGCAAAGGCUCUCUUUCCAUGGGGCUGAAAUGGCUCCACAGACUGGAGGCAGCGAACAAGCGGCAUUCAGUGAUCCACCCCCAUUGGUUCUUGUAGAAGGUGCCUACCAGUAACACAGAGGGCGGCUGGUCCUGCUCUCUGGCCGAAUACAUCCGCCACAACGACAUGCCCAUUUACGAAGCUGCCGACAGAGCCCUGAAAACUUUCCAGGAGGAGUUCAUGCCAGUGGAGACCUUCUCGGAGUUCCUCGACGUAGCUGGUCUUCUGUCAGAAAUCACCGAUCCAGAAAGCUUCCUCAAGGACCUGUUGAACUCAAUCCCCUGACCGUCCCCAAGGAACCACAGUUGAUGGAGAUCGAAGCUACCUGGCCUUCCACCCUCUGUACUCCUCUCCUUGUGCAUUGAUUUCCCUUAGGGGAUGCUGCAUUAUUACCGUCUCCCUUCCCUCAGUUUUCUUGGAGUGGCUUGGGGUUUUUAGGCUUCCUGUUUUCUCUUGUGUGUGUGGUGCACUAACUAUGAAGUGUCUGUAGCCCAAGCCAUCGAAGGACCUAUACAUACCCAGGGCCCUUGAGUCGUCCUGGCCAAUCUAAUACUUGAGUGUGCACAUCUUGAAAAAUAAAAAUGAAUGGUAAU